UACAGAGACCUCAAGCGUUAUCCGGAAUCAUUGGGCGUAAAGCGCGUGUAGGCGGCUCGGUAAGUCUGCUGUGAAAGUCCAGGGCUCAACCCUGGGAUGCCGGUGGAUACUGUCGAGCUCGAGUCCGGAAGAGGCGAGUGGAAUUCCUGGUGUAGCGGUGAAAUGCGCAGAUAUCAGGAGGAACACCAAUGGCGAAGGCAGCUCGCUGGGACGUGACUGACGCUGAAUAGCGAAAGCCAGGGGAGCAAACGGG
rnacentral:rRNA from 1 species